rnacentral:lncRNA from 1 species
AUGUCACCCCCACGUGUCACAACACCCACGGUGUGCCUGGGCCUGUCACUGUCCUGGAGUGCCCUAUGUCCCCAUCUCCCCACCCCCCACCCCCAUUUCCCCACCCCCAUCCCCAUGUCACUGCCCCACGUCCCUGUGUCACCUCCCCUUGUCCCCAUGUCACCAAGCAAUAUCCCCGUGUCACCGCCCUGUGUCCCAUGUCACUGCCUGGCGUCUGUGUCGCUGCCUGAUGUCCUCAUGCCCCGCCUCAUGUCCCAGUGUCACUGCUCGAUGUCCCGGUGUCCCUACUCCACGUCCCCAUGUCACUGUGCUGUCCCUGUGUCACUGCCCCACGUCCCUGUGCCACCACUGACACCACCACCCCGUGUCCCCAGGUCCCCAUGUUGCUGCUCCAUGUCCCGCUGUCCCUGCUCCACGUCCCCUUGUCCCUGUGUCAAUGCUCCAUGUCCCCAUCCAGUGUCCCCAUGUCCUCGCUCUGUGUCCCCAUUUCCACCCCUGAUGUCCCCAUGCUGCUGCCUGAUGCCACCACCACCUGUCCCCAUGUCCUUACGUUGUCUCCAUAUCCCUACGAUGUCCCCACAUCCCACUGAUGUCCCCGUGUUCCUACAAUGUCCCCAUAUCCCUACAACGUCCCCACUUCCCUACGAUGUCCCUACGUCCCCACAAUGUCCCCACGCCCCCACAAUGUCCCCAUGUCCUCGCUUUGUGUCACCAUUUCCACCCCUGAUGUCCCCAUGCUGCUGCCUGAUGCCACCACCACCUGUCCCCAUGUCCUUAGGUUGUCUCCAUAUCCCUACGAUGUCCCCACAUCCCACUGAUGUCCCCAUGUUCCUACAACGUCCUCACGCCCCCACAAUGUCCCCAUAUCCCUGCAAUGUCCCCAUAUCCCUACGACAUCCCAACUUCCCUAUGAUGUCCCCAUGUUCCUACAAUGUCCCCAUAUCUCCACAAUAUCCCCACGUCCCCACAAUGUCCCCAUAUCCCUACAAUGUCCCCACGCCCCCACAAUGUCCCGAUAUCCCUACAAUGUCCCCAUGUUCCCACAAUGGCCCCAUAUCCCUACGACGUCCCCACUUCCCUACGAUGUCCCCAUGUCCCUACAAUAUCUCCAUAUCCCCACAAUGUCUCAAUAUCCCUACAAUGUCCCCAUGUCCCCAUGAUGUCCCCAUGCCCCCACAAUGUCUCCAUAUCCCUACAAUGUCCCCAUAUCCCAACAACGUCCCCACACCCCCCCAAUGUCCCCACAUCCCCCCAAUGUCCCCAUGUCCCCCCAAUGUCCCCCAAUGUCCCCACGUCCCCCCAGUGUCCCCACAUCCCCCCAGUGUCCCCACAUCGCCAUGGUGUCCCCACGCCCCACCGAUGUCCCCCCGCCCCGCACUCACCGUCGGGGGGACCCGGCCCAACCCGUGGGCCACCACCGCGCGCGCCCCUGCCCCGCAGCUCCGCCACAUGGCGCGAGGUGACGUCACCGAGAUGACGCAACUCCCGUGGCGACGUCACUCCGGCGCUGACGUCACUCCGCCCUCCGCGUGA